rnacentral:rRNA from 1 species
GACGAACGCUGGCGGCGUGCUUAACACAUGCAAGUCGAACGGAAAGGCCCUGAUUUUGUGGGGUGCUCGAGUGGCGAACGGGUGAGUAACACGUGAGUAACCUGCCCUUGACUUUGGGAUAACUUCAGGAAACUGGGGCUAAUACCGGAUAGGAGCUCCUGCUGCAUGGUGGGGGUUGGAAAGUUUCGGCGGUUGGGGAUGGACUCGCGGCUUAUCAGCUUGUUGGUGGGGUAGUGGCUUACCAAGGCUUUGACGGGUAGACGGCCUGAGAGGGUGACCGGCCACAUUAUUACUGAGAUACGCCCCAGACUCCUACUGGGCACAGCAGUGAGGAAUAGUGCACAAUGGUCGGAAGCCUGAUGCAGCAACUCCACGUGCGGGAUGACGGCCUUCGGGUUGUAAACCGCUUUCGCCUGUGACGAAGCGUAAGUAACGGUAAUAGGUAAAGAAGCACCGGCUAACUACGUG